rnacentral:tRNA from 1 species
GGACAGGUGGCCGAGUGGUUGAAGGCACCACCCUGGAAAGGUGGCAUACCGGCAACGGUAUCGAGGGUUCGAAUCCCUCCCUGUCCG